rnacentral:miRNA from 1 species
UUGUUUAGGAGAGCUGGCUUGG